UAUAGAGAUGUGUAGUAGUCUAGGUCUAUCUGGUACUAUAGAGAUGUGUAGUAGUCUAGGUCUAUCUGGUACUAUAGAGAUGUGUAGUAGUCUAUCUGGUACUAUAGAGAUGUGUAGUAGUCUAUCUGGUACUAUAGAGAUGUGUAGUAGUCUAGGUCUAUCUGGUACUAUAGAGAUGUGUAGUAGUCUAGGCCUAUCUGGUACUAUAGAGAUGUGUAGUAGUCUAGGCCUAUCUGGUACUAUAGAGAUGUGUAGUAGUCUAGGCCUAUCUGGUACUAUAGAGAUGUGUAGUAGUCUAGGUCUGAUCUGUGGUAGCAGCGUGCAGAUAGAGCAGGUGACAGUCAAGGAGCCUCGCUGGCUGUUUGUCUUGUGA
rnacentral:lncRNA from 13 species